rnacentral:rRNA from 1 species
CUUUUCGUUAAUUGUUUUUGAGAUGCUUGCAUCGAAGAGGAUUUUAACUCUAAAGUGAGUGGCGAACGGGUGAGUAACACGUGGGUAACCUGCCCAGAAGUGGGGGAUAACACCUGGAAACAGAUGCUAAUACCGCAUAACAAAAUUAACCGCAUGGUUGAUUUUUAAAAGAUGGCUUCGGCUAUCACUUCUGGAUGGACCCGCGGCGUAUUAGCUAGUUGGUGAGAUAAAGGCUCACCAAGGCAGUGAUACGUAGCCGACCUGAGAGGGUAAUCGGCCACAUUGGGACUGAGACACGGCCCAGACUCCUACGGGAGGCAGCAGUAGGGAAUCUUCCACAAUGGACGCAAGUCUGAUGGAGCAACGCCGCGUGAGUGAUGAAGGCUUUCGGGUCGUAAAACUCUGUUGUUGGAGAAGAACGUGUGUGAGAGUAACUGCUCAUGCAGUGACGGUAUCCAACCAGAAAGCCACGGCUAACUACGUGCCAGCAGCCGCGGUAAUACGUAGGUGGCAAGCGUUAUCCGGAUUUAUUGGGCGUAAAGCGAGCGCAGGCGGUCUUUUAAGUCUAAUGUGAAAGCCUUCGGCUUAACCGAAGAAGUGCAUUGGAAACUGGGAGACUUGAGUGCAGAAGAGGAGAGUGGAACUCCAUGUGUAGCGGUGAAAUGCGUAGAUAUAUGGAAGAACACCAGUGGCGAACGCGGCUCUCUGGUCUGCAACUGACGCUGAGCUCGAAAGCAUGGUAGCGAACAGGAUUAGAUACCCUGGUAGUCAUGCGUAACGAUGAUGCUAGUGUGAGGUUCGCCCUCAGUGCUGCAGCUACGCAUUAGCAUUC